rnacentral:rRNA from 1 species
ACUGAACGCUGGCGGCAUGCCUUACACAUGCAAGUCGAACGGCAGCACGGGAGCAAUCCUGGUGGCGAGUGGCGAACGGGUGAGUAAUGUAUCGGAACGUGCCUAGUUGUGGGGGAUAACGUAGAGAAAUUUACGCGAAUACCGCAUACGAUCUAUGGAUGAAAGCGGGGGAUCGCAAGACCUCGCGCAGUCAGAGCGGCCGAUAUCAGAUUAGGUUGUUGGUGGGGUAAAAGCUCACCAAGCCGACGAUCUGUAGCUGGUUUGAGAGAACGACCAGCCACACUGGGACUGAGACACGGCCCAGACUCCUACGGGAGGCAGCAGUGGGGAAUUUUGGACAAUGGGGGCAACCCUGAUCCAGCAAUGCCGCGUGCAGGAAGAAGGCCUUCGGGUUGUAAACUGCUUUUGUACGGAACGAAACGGUCCUUUCUAAUACAGAGGGCUAAUGACGGUACCGUAAGAAUAAGCACCGGCUAACUACGUGCCAGCCGCCGCGGUAA